rnacentral:rRNA from 1 species
GGAAUUUUCCGCAAUGGGCGAAAGCCUGACGGAGCAAUACCGCGUGAGGGAAGACUGCCUAUGGGUUGUAAACCUCUUUUUUCAGGGAGGAACAAAAUGACGUGUACCUGAAGAAUAAGCAUCGGCUAACUCCGUGCCAGCAGCCGCGGUAACACGGGAGUGGCAAGCGUUAUCCGGAAUUAUUGGGCGUAAAGCGUCCGCAGGCGGUCUGUCAAGUCUGCUGUUAAAGCGUGGAGCUUAACUCCAUUUCGGCAGUGGAAACUGACAGACUAGAGUGUGGUAGGGGCAGAGGGAAUUCCCGGUGUAGCGGUGAAAUGCGUAGAUAUCGGGAAGAACACCAGUGGCGAAGGCGCUCUGCUGGGCCACAACUGACGCUCAUGGACGAAAGCCAGGGGAGCGAAAGGGAUUAGAUACCCCAGUAGUC